rnacentral:rRNA from 1 species
UAGAGUUUGAUCCUGGCUCAGAAUGAACGCUGGCGGCGUGCUUAACACAUGCAAGUCGUACGAGAAACCCGCCUUCGGGUGGGGAGUAAAGUGGCGCACGGGUGAGUAACGCGUGGGUAAUCUACCCUCGAAUUGGGGAUAACAUACCGAAAGGUGUGCUAAUACCGAAUAAGACCACGAUCACUCCGGUGAUCGGGGUCAAAGAUGGCCUCUGCUUGCAAGCUGUCGUUUGAGGAUGAGCCCGCGUACCGUUAGCUUGUUGGUGGGGUAAUGGCCUACCAAGGCAACGAUGGUUAGCUGGUCUGAGAGGAUGGCCAGCCACACUGGAACUGGAACACGGUCCAGACUCCUACGGGAGGCAGCAGUGAGGAAUUUUGCGCAAUGGGGGAAACCCUGACGCAGCAACGCCGCGUGAGUGAAGAAGGCCUUCGGGUUGUAAAGCUCUGUCGAGUGGGAAGAACCUUUUUCGACCGAACAAGUCGAAAAAUUGACGGUACCGCUGAAGGAAGCACCGGCUAACUCCGUGCCAGCAGCCGCGGUA